CAAAAAUCUCUCAGAGCUCUCUAAACUCAAGAACCAAUUAAAAAAGGAGAUCUUGCUUCAAGUAGGGAUUCAAAAAUGGGACUUUCCUCCAUAAAUACUUAAGGAUUAACAAGGUCUGGGCCAUUGAGGUACUUCUAGGCCAUUCUUCAAGAAAUUUGGAUUGUUAUUCCCAAUAUGGUGAGUCCUCAAGUCAUAGGAGGAGACACCUAUGAUUCUAGCUUUAAUUAGUUUACUUUUCAUUUGUGAAAGUCCAUGUUGUACUUUCCUAUUCUAAGAUUCAUCAUUGAUGUAAGGGCUAGGUCCCAACUUUCAUAUUCCUACGUCUAAAUUGUAUUGUGAGACAAAUUUAUUUCCCAUUUUCA